GAUGAACGCUGGCGGCGUGCCUAAUACAUGCAAGUCGAGCGAACAGAUGAGGAGCUUGCUCCUCUGACGUUAGCGGCGGACGGGUGAGUAACACGUGGAUAACCUACCUAUGAGACUGGGAUAACUUCGGGAAACCGGAGCUAAUACCGGAUAAUAUAUUGAACCGCAUGGUUCAAUAGUGAAAGACGGUUUUGCUGUCACUUAUAGAUGGAUCCGCGCCGCAUUAGCUAGUUGGUAAGGUAACGGCUUACCAAGGCAACGAUGCGUAGCCGACCUGAGAGGGUGAUCGGCCACACUGGAACUGAGACACGGUCCAGACUCCUACGGGAGGCAGCAGUAGGGAAUAUUCCGCAAUGGGCGAAAGCCUGACGGAGCAACGCCGCGUGAGUGAUGAAGGUCUUCGGAUCGUAAAACUCUGUUAUUAGGGAAGAACAAAUGUGUAAGUAACUAUGCACGUCUUGACGGUACCUAAUCAGAAAGCAACGGCUAACUACGUG
rnacentral:rRNA from 1 species